ACGGAAGGCAGCAGUGGGGAAUAUUGGGCAAUGGGCGGAAGCCUGACCCAGCAACGCCGCGUGAGGGAAGAAGGUUUUCGGAUUGUAAACCUCUGUCCUUGGUGACGAAAAGAUGACGGUACUUUAGGAGGAAGCCCCGGCUAACUACGUGCCAGCAGCCGCGGUAAUACGUAGGGGGCGAGCGUUGUCCGGAAUGAUUGGGCGUAAAGGGCGCGUAGGCGGCUCGUUAAGUCUGGAGUGAAAGUCCUGCUUUCAAGGUGGGAAUUGCUUUGGAUACUGAUGAGCUCGAGUACAGGAGAGGAAAGCGGAAUUACCGGUGUAGCGGUGAAAUGCGUAGAGAUCGGUAGGAACACCAGUGGCGAAGGCGGCUUUCUGGACUGAAACUGACGCUGAGGCGCGAAAGCGUGGGGAGCAAACAGGAUUAGAUACCCUGGUA
rnacentral:rRNA from 1 species